rnacentral:rRNA from 1 species
GACGAACGCUGGCGGCGUGCUUAACACAUGCAAGUCGAACGAUGAACCCGGAGCUUGCUCCGGUGGAUUAGCGGCGGACGGGUGAGUAACACGUGGGUAACCUGCCCAUAAGACUGGGAUAACUCCGGGAAACCGGGGCUAAUACCGGAUAACAUUUUGAACCGCAUGGUUCGAAAUUGAAAGGCGGCUUCGGCUGUCACUUAUGGAUGGACCCGCGUCGCAUUAGCUAGUUGGUGAGGUAACGGCUCACCAAGGCAACGAUGCGUAGCCGACCGGAGAGGGUGAUCGGCCACACUGGGACUGGGACACGGCCCAGACUCCUACGGGAGGCAGCAGUAGGGAAUCUUCCGCAAUGGACGAAAGUCUGACGGGGCAACGCCGCGUGAGUGAUGAAGGCUUUCGGGUCGUAAAACUCUGUUGUUAGGGAAGAACAAGUGCUAGUUGAAUAAGCUGGCACCUUGACGGUACCUAACCAGAAAGCCACGGCUAACUACGUGCCAGCAGCCGCGGUAA